AUCCUUAAAUUUUUCUUCUUAUGAUUAAUAAUUAAUAUCAAGGAUAGAAUUGAUAUAAAUUGGCCAAAUAUUCAUUAAUUUUUCUUAGAAUGGACAUUUAUUUUAGAUAAACUGUACAAGUAAACCUGAACGGAGACAGUAUUACAACUUCCACUUCUUGUCUAUUAGUACUUACUACUACAUUUUUGGAGUCAUUCAUAUAAGCAUUGUCCUUUUCCUUCUUUUCUUUUGUUCUCUACAUGGCGGUUUUCAUUCAUCAAAAGCAAGAAAAAAAGGGACAAUUAUUCUUGAUGAAGAUAGAGGCAAAACUACGAUUUAGAGUUUUAGGAUAACAAAUGUUUUAAUACAAAUGAUGAAUAGUUAAUUAUAAAUUAUAAAGUUUAUAAAUUUAAUGUUUUAAUAUAAAUUAUUCAUCAAUAUAUUUAUUUCAUA
rnacentral:lncRNA from 1 species